rnacentral:rRNA from 1 species
CAACUUUCAACAACGGAUCUCUUGGCUCUCACAUCGAUGAAGAACGCAGCGAAAUGCGAUAAGUAAUGUGAAUUGCUGAAUUCAGUGAAUCAUCGAAUCUUUGAACGCAAAUUGCGCCCUUUGGCAUUCCGAAGGGCAUGCCUGUUUAAGUGUCUU